UACGUAGGGUGCGAGCGUUAAUCGGAAUUACUGGGCGUAAAGCGUGCGCAGGCGGUUUGUUAAGACAGAUGUGAAAUCCCCGGGCUUAACCUGGGAACUGCAUUUGUGACUGGCAAGCUAGAGUAUGGCAGAGGGGGGUAGAAUUCCACGUGUAGCAGUGAAAUGCGUAGAGAUGUGGAGGAACUCCGGUGGCGAAGGCGGCACGCUGGACCCCUUCUGACGCUGAGGCGCGAAAGCCAGGGGAGCGAACGGG
rnacentral:rRNA from 1 species